rnacentral:lncRNA from 1 species
AAAAAUACACAUGCAUUAGAACACUUGUAUGUUAAUUUCCAUAAUGUUUUGUUUAAACAUUCUUCGUUUUAAUUAGAUUCUUUUUGUGUGAAGAUUGUUCGAAGAAGAAAAAACCGAAGAUGGCAACAACAUCCACGGGAGAUAUCGAGAAAACGAAGUCAGUAGAAGUGAAGAAGAAACUUAACGUGUUGAUCGUCGAUGAUGAUCCUGUAAUUCGUAAACUUCACGAGAUUAUCAUCAAAUCAAUCGGUGGAAUUUCACAGACAGCUAAGAACGGUGAGGAGGCAGUGAACAUCCACCGCGACGGCAAUGCAUCUUUCGACCUUAUCCUAAUGGAUAAAGAAAUGCCCGAGAGGGAUGGACUUUCGGUACAAUUAAAUAAUAAUCUUUAAUUUAAUUUGUGUCGAUCAUCACUACACUUAUUAAGCUCCUCUUUAAAAUACUUUUUUAUGUCCUUUUGUUGGUUUUGUUUAGGCAACUAAGAAGCUAAGAGAAAUGAAAGUGACGUCUAUGAUUAUUGGGGUGACGACACUGGCUGACAAUGAAGAGGAACGUAAGGCUUUCAUGGAAGCUGGACUUAACCAUUGCUUGGCAAAGCCCUUAAGCAAAGCCAAGAUCCUCCCUCUCAUCAACAAUCUCAUGGAUGCUUGAUGGAUGGAUGAAUUGUCGCCACUACAUAUCUACAUUAUAUAAAUAUGAAAAACACAUAAUAACGUCAGCUUAUACACCUGUGUGUGUAUGCAUAUAUCUAUCUGCAUGUGUGUGUUUUAGGGUUGUUAUGUUUGAUUUUUAUCGUGCGUGGCGUGAUAUACAAUCAUGUAAGUCAUUACUUUUGGCUUAUAAAAUAAUGAAUAAGAUUUCUUAUGAUCAGAUGCAUUCGAUUUCCAUUUCAAUUAACUAGAUCUACUUGGUACAUUCAAUUUGCAAUCUGCUAAAAAUCCAUACCUAUAUUUAACUGAUCCGGAUUAUAGAUUACAACCGUAGAUUUUGAGGAACGUCUUCGUAGUUUAUCUCCAUUUUUUUUUUUUCCUUUCUCUUUUUCUCUAGUUAGAUUUUAUCCAUUCCAGACAAAACUACAGAUGUAUAACUUACAGAAAAUAUCAGACAUAACUUAACUACAUCUCAAUAUCUCUUUACUUGUGGUUAUUUGUUUUCACAUGCUUUUGGUUUAAGCCUUCUAGCUUUAGAGACUAACAAGGAAUGUUAAUUAGGAUUUUUGAUAAGAGUGAAAUUCACUUGGGGAAAGUCAACUUGUUAGAAAACUAACUAGUUUGUUAUUGUAUCUCUAUCAGCGUGUUAAUUAUUACUCUUUGUGGGUUGCUAGUUGCUACAAGUUAAAUUUGAUUUCAGCUUUCCAACUCGGAUUUAUUCCCGAUUUAAACUCAGUCUAACCGUCACUCCGGUCCAAUUUAAGAACAUUGGACACAACUAAACUUCCACUCACAAGUUUCCAAAGUUCAACUCUUCUUUUCACACAGCCAGAUUGGUAUGAUCGAAUCAUGGAAUCGUAUACGUGAACCUACUCAAAUACCUCACUUUAAUACAAGAAGAAGUUCAAAAUCUUUUAAUAACCACAACCCGGUUUAGGAAACCAAUCAAAAACAUCCCGGUUUAUCUUACCUAGACCGUAAUUCAUUAAAUAGCCCAUGGGCCUUUAAAAUCAUCAUAGUUAAGCCCAUUAUAAUUUCGACAUAUAUAAACAAAAAAAAAAAAAAAAUACACAUGCAUUAGAACACUUGUAUGUUAAUUUCCAUAAUGUUUUGUUUAAACAUUCUUCGUUUUAAUUAGAUUCUUUUUGUGUGAAGAUUGUUCGAAGAAGAAAAAACCGAAGAUGGCAACAACAUCCACGGGAGAUAUCGAGAAAACGAAGUCAGUAGAAGUGAAGAAGAAACUUAACGUGUUGAUCGUCGAUGAUGAUCCUGUAAUUCGUAAACUUCACGAGAUUAUCAUCAAAUCAAUCGGUGGAAUUUCACAGACAGCUAAGAACGGUGAGGAGGCAGUGAACAUCCACCGCGACGGCAAUGCAUCUUUCGACCUUAUCCUAAUGGAUAAAGAAAUGCCCGAGAGGGAUGGACUUUCGGUACAAUUAAAUAAUAAUCUUUAAUUUAAUUUGUGUCGAUCAUCACUACACUUAUUAAGCUCCUCUUUAAAAUACUUUUUUAUGUCCUUUUGUUGGUUUUGUUUAGGCAACUAAGAAGCUAAGAGAAAUGAAAGUGACGUCUAUGAUUAUUGGGGUGACGACACU